GUGCCAGCCGCCGCGGUAAGACGGAGGAGGCUAGCGUUGUUCGGAAUUACUGGGCGUAAAGCGUGCGUAGGCGGCCUGGUUAGUCGGAGGUGAAAUCCCGGGGCUCAACUCCGGAACUGCCUCCGAGACGGCUGGGCUUGAGCGAAGGAGAGGAGAGCGGAAUUCCCAGUGUAGAGGUGAAAUUCGUAGAUAUUGGGAAGAACACCGGUGGCGAAGGCGGCUCUCUGGCCUUUUGCUGACGCUCAGGCACGAAAGCGUGGGGAGCAAACAGGAUUAGAUACCCCCGUAGUCC
rnacentral:rRNA from 1 species